AAUCAGCGGGUUCUAAUCGGUCUAAAGCUGCACCAACGAGAUCAGUAGUCCAAAUCAUGGAGUGUUGGAGUUGGAUGCGAUAACCAACGAUCUGGACGCAGCUUGUAUCAGAUCUCAGAAAUGCGGAAGGGCGGGGAUCGGGUCGAUGAUCCUAAGUAGAAGCGUCAUUUCUUGGUGGAUUUCGUAGUUCGCUUGGCGUCGGGAUUGCGGCGGGGAAGCGGAGACGAGAAAGGAUUUCCGAUGUAAGUUCCUUUUGGAGAGAAAUCACAAAUGGUGCGACAUGUCAAAUCUGCCAUCUCCAUCCGGGAUAAUCGAAGAAGCUAUAUAGUUGAACCUACUUUGAAAACCUUUGCGUGCACAUGAAAUUAAAGUGUUUGAUGACUAUUGUUGGGCAUCAAAAGGUUAUGAUGCCCCAACCUGGAGGAGUGUUUUGUCCCUGUGAAAUGGACAUGCUGGGGAGGUCGGCCAUAUUCCAUCUGGGCCCCUUUCUGUGCUCUCUCUCAUGAAACAUUUGGUGAACUGCCACAGGAUUAUUAUUGCAGGUCGGUGCUAGUCCAAUUAGCAAUUGGUGUGGGGUGGCUGUCUAUUGAUUACAUCAAGAUUCGUGCAGACAGGCAUUGGUCGCGUUGACUUUGAAGUGACAAGAGAAGUUAGCCAUUUGCAAGAUAUCACAUCUUAUUUAGAGCUAUCUUGGAGGAAGAGUGUCUUAUUCAACUAGACAAAGUUUUCAACCAGUACUUGAUGGCCCAUGAAGAGGUGGUUAUUAUUAAAAAAAUGAUUUUUUUUUCUAUCAGAAUGUUCCAGAUAGAGAGAUAAGCAAUAUUGCAAUCAUUUAAAAAAUAAUAUGGUUAUUUUGAUGAUUUUGAGAGAGUUUAGGAUAACUUUCACACAUAAUAAGUGGGGCUUAAUAAUAGUGCAUGUAAUUUUUGUAUAAGAAAACUGCUUUAGAAAGUAGUAAAAAAGUUAUCCCAAAUGAAGCCUUAGACUUAUUUUGGAACGGCUUUCUUAUUAUUUUUUAAUACAAAAAAAAAAUGAAAAAUAAAUUUAUAUGCUAAAAAAUUAUUUUAGAAAAUAAUAAGAAAGCCGUAUCAAAUAAAUUAUUAAACUCCCCCAUUUAAUUAACAAUGAUUGAGAAUAUAGAGGUAAAAGGUGAUGUAGCAUAAUGGGGGUUUUUUAUUUUUGGUCUAAAAUGAGUCAAAUCACUAUUGAAUAAAUCCAAAACUCCUUAAAAAUUUAUAUAAUUUCUCAAGCCAUUUUAUUAUUUUUUUCGUAUUCAUUACGCCAAUUUCUAUUAUUGCUGCACCGAAACAUCUGUUUAUUUGCCAGAUCAAAAAUUAUUAUUAUUAUGUUAACAGUUCUUCUCCUAUAUGAAUAUCCAUAUAAAUCUUUGUCUUAUCUUCCAAACUAUUCACACAGCAGUGAUGUUUACUGAUUACAUAAGAAAAUAAAUUUUGUAUUAAAAUCUGAUUCAAUUAGACCAUUAAAAUCC